rnacentral:rRNA from 1 species
UACAGAGGUCUCAAGCGUUGUUCGGAUUCAUUGGGCGUAAAGGGCGCGUAGGCGGCUCGGUCAGCGUGCGGUGAAAGCCCGGGGCUCAACCCCGGGUCGGCCGUGCGAACUGCUGGGCUGGAGCACUGUAGAGGCAGGUGGAACUUCCGGUGGAGCGGUGAAAUGCGUAGAUAUCGGAAGGAACGCCGGUGGCGAAAGCGACGUGCUGGACCUUUUCUGACGCUGAGGCGCGAAAGCCAGGGGAGCAAACGGG